UACGAAGGGGGCUAGCGUUGCUCGGAGUGACUGGGCGUAAAGGGCGCGUAGGCGGAUGGCACAGUCAGAUGUGAAAUUCCCGGGCUUAACCUGGGGGCUGCAUUUGAUACGUGUGAUCUAGAGUGAGGAAGAGGGUCGUGGAAUUCCCAGUGUAGAGGUGAAAUUCGUAGAUAUUGGGAAGAACACCGGUGGCGAAGGCGGCGACCUGGUCCUUGACUGACGCUGAGGCGCGAAAGCGUGGGGAGCAAACAGG
rnacentral:rRNA from 1 species